UCUCGUAAGGAACAGUUGCUUGAGGAAGCAACUCUCUCUCUUCUUCAAGCAACUCAUGGUGCCACGUCAGAAUCCUCCAAUAGUAAGAAAUCGGGGCUUGAGUUGCUUCAUGGGACAAGCAACUCCCGUUGGGAAACGAUUUUAUUUACGUGGACUGUUAAAUGUGGACCUACCAUUGAGUGAACAUAAAACAAGACACGUACUUCUCCAAAUUAAUGGACAUCAAAGUGAAACUACAAAUUUUUAUUUCCAGCUUUUUAGAGGGUUUAACGUAGUCCUUUCUGCUAAAAAAAAGAAGACGUUAGUCCUUUCAUGUGAAUAUUCGAUACUCUCUAAACCUAAUAUCCUUCGAAGGAAAACCAUGGGGUUCUUCCCAUUUUUUGCUCGUUUUAUGCUACAGUGGCUGAAGUUUCUACACAAACCAAGGUUCAGCCUUUCGAAAGCGAAGACAUAAAAUCAAUGUGUGUGAACAUACGUUUAGUUAAAUGAUCUAGAUGCGACAAUUUUGAUGGUGUUAAGAUGGUGAAGAUUAUCAGUCCUAUAUAGAAGAGCAAUGAAGACAUCUAAUCAAUAUUUUAAAAACUGGUAUAGUAGGUUAGAGGUUAAAUUGAUGAAUCAUUAAUUAAAUUGUAUGAUUCAAUCUUUAUUAAUUUUUUUAAAAAAAUAUUUAUGCUAUUCAAGGGAAAAUCGCAGUCCAGUUUCUCUAGUGUUCUCUUUUUGUGUAUCCAUUUUCUAGAUUCUGUUCUCUUUCUCGUCCAAUCCGAAUACCAUCAUGGAGGAUGCUGCUACUGCUAAUGAAAAGACAAGUUCCUAAUAAUAGCAAUUGAAGAAGCAUAUAAGGCAGUUGAAAGCGGAGAUGGUUUUCCAUUUGGUGCAGUUAUUGUUCAAAAUGAUGAAAUAGUUGCAAGUUGCCAUAACAUGGUUGUAAGAAACACUGAUCCCAGGAUUCCCAGUGCCCAUGCUGAGAUUAUUGCUAUUAGAGCUGAAUCAAGUUCAACUUGCUGACUGUGAAAUCUAUGUUUCUUGCGAGCCUUGUCCAAUGUGCCUUACUGCAAUUCAUUUUUCAAAUAUUAAGAAACUGAUUUAUGGAGCUAAAGCAGAAGCUGGAGUAGCAAUUGGAUUUGAUGGUAUUAUUGCUGUGCACUGAGAAACACUGGUUUUUAUGAGCAGUUCAACUUAGAGAUCAAAUAGGCUGAUGGCAGUGUUGCUGAAAUGGCAGAACAAGUAUUUGAGAACACCAAAGACAAGUUUAAAAUCUGAAUGCAAGUUUCCAUUGUUUAGGAAAACAUAAAUUUCUUACUAUAAGUAGGUUCAUGAAUUCGAGAAAUAAAUUGUACUUGGUGUUCAUCUGCUCAUGUAGUAUUUGUUUAAGGCGUCGGAAACGAUUAUUGAUACGUUA